GCUUGGUACCAUCCCUUCAAGCAGUAUAUGAGAUCCUCAUUAUGGUCUGAAGAUAGAGCAAGGUUUUCAAGAACAAGAGCACUGAAGUACAUAAUUUUCUCUGGUUUAGCAUUUUUCAAUUCUUCGUAUCCCCUCUCAAUUGCAGUUCUAACUGUUGAAUCAAGAGCAAUAUCCAAAAAUAUUAAAUCCUUCAAACGUUCAUGGGAAGUUAGGAGCAGUUGUCGGAGAUCCCGGCG
rnacentral:misc_RNA from 1 species